UACGUAGGGGGCUAGCGUUGUCCGGAAUCAUUGGGCGUAAAGCGCGUGUAGGCGGCCCGGUAAGUCCGCUGUGAAAGUCGGGGGCUCAACCCUCGAAAGCCGGUGGAUACUGUCGGGCUCGAGUACGGGAGAGGCGAGUGGAAUUCCUGGUGUAGCGGUGAAAUGCGCAGAUAUCAGGAGGAACACCUAUGGCGAAGGCAGCACUCUGGGACGGUACUGACGCUGAGACGCGAAAGCGUGGGGAGCAAACAGG
rnacentral:rRNA from 1 species